AUUUUUAGGUUAAGUUAGAAAGGGCGCACGGUGGAUGCCUUGGCACUAGGAGCCGAUGAAGGACGGUACUAACACCGAUAUGCUUCGGGGAGCUGUAAGUAAGCUUUGAUCCGGAGAUUUCCGAAUGGGGAAACCCUCCAUCCGUAAUGGGAUGGAACCCUUGCCUGAAUACAUAGGGCAYUGGAGGCAGACCCGGGGAACUGAAACAUCUAAGUACCCGGAGGAAGAGAAAGCAAACGCGAUUCCCUGAGUAGCGGCGAGCGAAACGGGAUUAGCCCAAACCAGGAGGCUUGCCUCCUGGGGUUGUAGGACACUCUACACGGAGUUACAAAGGAACGGAGUAAAUGAACAGGCAUGGAAAGGCCGGCCAUAGAGGGUAACAGCCCCGUAGUUGAAACUUCGUUCCCUCCAGAGUGGAUCCUGAGUACGGCGGGACACGUGAAAUCCCGUCGGAAGCAGGGGGUCAGGGUAAUGGCGUGCCUUUUGUAGAAUGAACCGGCGAGUUACGAUUACAUGCGAGGUUAAGUUGAACAGACGGAGCCGCAGCGAAAGCGAGUCUGAAUAGGGCGAAUGAGUAUGUGGUCGUAGACCCGAAACCAGGUGAUCUACCCAUGUCCAGGGUGAAGUCCAGGUAACACUGGAUGGAGGCCCGAACCCACGCACGUUGAAAAGUGCGGGGAUGAGGUGUGGGUAGCGGAGAAAUUCCAAUCGAACUUGGAGAUAGCUGGUUCUCUCCGAAAUAGCUUUAGGGCUAGCCUCAUGUUGUAAGAGUCUUGGAGGUAGAGCACUGUUUGGACUAGGGGCCCCCAUCGGGUUACCGAAUUCAGACAAACUCCGAAUGCCAAAGACUUAUCCAUGGGAGUCAGACUGCGAGUGAUAAGAUCCGUAGUCAAAAGGGAAACAGCCCAGACCACCAGCUAAGGUCCCAAAGUAUACGUUAAGUGGAAAAGGAUGUGGAGUUGCUUAGACAACCAGGAUGUUGGCUUAGAAGCAGCCACCAUUUAAAGAGUGCGUAAUAGCUCACUGGUCGAGUGACUCCGCGCCGAAAAUGUACCGGGGCUAAACGUAUCACCGAAGCUGUGGGUGGACACCAUCAGGUGUCCGCGGUAGGAGAGCGUUCUAAGUGCAUCGAAGUCAGACCGCAAGGACUGGUGGAGCGCUUAGAAGUGAGAAUGCCGGUAUGAGUAGCGAAAGAUGGGUGAGAAUCCCAUCCACCGAAUGCCUAAGGUUUCCUGAGGAAGGCUCGUCCGCUCAGGGUUAGUCGGGACCUAAGCCGAGGCCGAAAGGCGUAGGCGAUGGACAACAGGUUGAUAUUCCUGUACCACCUCUUUACCGUUUGAGCAAUGGGGGGACGCAGGAGGAUAGGGUAAGCGCGCUGUUGGAUAUGCGCGUCCAAGCAGUUAGGCUGCAAACGAGGCAAAUCCCGUUUGCAUCAGGCUGAGCUGUGACGGCGAGGGAAAUUUAGUACCGAAGUUCCUGAUUCCACACUGCCAAGAAAAGCCUCUAGCGAGGGAAAAGGUGCCCGUACCGCAAACCGACACAGGUAGGCGAGGAGAGAAUCCUAAGGUGAGCGAGAGAACUCUCGUUAAGGAACUCGGCAAAAUGACCCCGUAACUUCGGGAGAAGGGGUGCUUUUUAGGGUGAAUAGCCCGGAAAAGCCGCAGUGAAUAGGCCCAGGCGACUGUUUAGCAAAAACACAGGUCUCUGCGAAGCCGCAAGGCGAAGUAUAGGGGCUGACGCCUGCCCGGUGCUGGAAGGUUAAGAGGAGGGGUUAGCGCAAGCGAAGCUCUGAAUCGAAGCCCCAGUAAACGGCGGCCGUAACUAUAACGGUCCUAAGGUAGCGAAAUUCCUUGUCGGGUAAGUUCCGACCCGCACGAAAGGCGUAACGAUCUGGGCACUGUCUCAACGAGAGACUCGGUGAAAUUAUAGUACCUGUGAAGAUGCAGGUUACCCGCGACAGGACGGAAAGACCCCGUGGAGCUUUACUGCAGCCUGAUAUUGAAUUUUGGUACAGCUUGUACAGGAUAGGUAGGAGCCUUUGAAGCCGGAGCGCCAGCUUCGGUGGAGGCAUUGGUGGGAUACUACCCUGGCUGUAUUGAAAUUCUAACCCGCGCCCCUGAUCGGGGCGGGAGACAGUGUCAGGCGGGCAGUUUGACUGGGGCGGUCGCCUCCUAAAAAGUAACGGAGGCGCCCAAAGGUUCCCUCAGAAUGGUUGGAAAUCAUUCGCAGAGUGUAAAGGCACAAGGGAGCUUGACUGCGAGACCUACAAGUCGAGCAGGGACGAAAGUCGGGCUUAGUGAUCCGGUGGUUCCGCAUGGAAGGGCCAUCGCUCAACGGAUAAAAGCUACCCCGGGGAUAACAGGCUUAUCUCCCCCAAGAGUCCACAUCGACGGGGAGGUUUGGCACCUCGAUGUCGGCUCAUCGCAUCCUGGGGCUGUAGUCGGUCCCAAGGGUUGGGCUGUUCGCCCAUUAAAGCGGUACGCGAGCUGGGUUCAGAACGUCGUGAGACAGUUCGGUCCCUAUCCGUCGUGGGCGCAGGAAAUUUGAGAGGAGCUGUCCUUAGUACGAGAGGACCGGGAUGGACGCACCGCUGGUGUACCAGUUGUCUUGCCAAAGGCAUCGCUGGGUAGCUAUGUGCGGAAGGGAUAAGUGCUGAAAGCAUCUAAGCAUGAAGCCCCCCUCGAGAUGAGAUUUCCCAUAGCGUCAUCCUGGGGCUGUAGUCGGUCCCAAGGGUUGGGCUGUUCGCCCAUUAAAGCGGUACGCGAGCUGGGUUCAGAACGUCGUGAGACAGUUCGGUCCCUAUCCGUCGUGGGCGCAGGAAAUUUGAGAGGAGCUGUCCUUAGUACGAGAGGACCGGGAUGGACGCACCGCUGGUGUACCAGUUGUCUUGCCAAAGGCAUCGCUGGGUAGCUAUGUGCGGAAGGGAUAAGUGCUGAAAGCAUCUAAGCAUGAAGCCCCCCUCGAGAUGAGAUUUCCCAUAAGGUUGAUAGGUCUGAGGUGGAAGCGUGGUGACACGUGGAGCUGACAGAUACUAAUAGAUCGAGGACUUAACCACAUUU
rnacentral:rRNA from 1 species